UACAGAGGUCUCAAGCGUUGUUCGGAAUUACUGGGCGUAAAGGGCGCGUAGGCGGCUUGGUCAGUCCCGUGUGAAAUCCCUCGGCUCAACUGAGGAACUGCACGGGAAACUGCCUGGCUUGAGUUCGGGAGAGGGAAGCGGAAUUCCGGGUGUAGCGGUGAAAUGCGUAGAUAUCCGGAGGAACACCGGUGGCGAAGGCGGCUUCCUGGACCGACACUGACGCUGAGGCGCGAAAGCUAGGGGAGCAAACGGG
rnacentral:rRNA from 1 species